AUUGAACGCUGGCGGCAUGCCUUACACAUGCAAGUCGAACGGCAGCACGGGAGCAAUCCUGGUGGCGAGUGGCGAACGGGUGAGUAAUAUAUCGGAACGUGCCCAGUGAUGGGGGAUAGCCCGGCGAAAGCCGGACUAAUACCGCAUACGACCUACGGGUGAAAGCAGGGGAUCGCAAGACCUUGCGUCAUUGGAGCGGCCGAUAUCAGAUUAGCUGUUGGUGGGGUAAAAGCCUACCAAGGCGACGAUCUGUAGCUGGUCUGAGAGGACGACCAGCCACACUGGGACUGAGACACGGCCCAGACUCCUACGGGAGGCAGCAGUGGGGAAUUUUGGACAAUGGGCGCAAGCCUGAUCCAGCCAUGCCGCGUGCGGGAAGAAGGCCU
rnacentral:rRNA from 1 species